rnacentral:lncRNA from 1 species
GUCACAAACUAAAGAAGAAGUCAAACUUAGUUGAGGAAAAUUAUGCGACACAUUGUGCGACCGGAGAUCAGGUCUGAGGUGCAUUCUACUAUUGUAGAAUAGGUAUGCAGACUAUAGAUCUGUCGCAGACCCAACUCGAAAUACCCCAAUUCUAAGAAUCAAUUGUGAGACAAUUUUACAGGCCGCACAUCUGUUUUGCGGCAAUUUCUUUGAUCGCAUACCCAUGUCAGAGGGUCCAAUUUUCUAUUUAUUCAAC